rfam:Myotis davidii contig166318, whole genome shotgun sequence.
GCCAGUGUGGCUCAGUGGUUAAGAGUGUCAACCUGCACAUACCGAAGGGUCAUGGGUUCUAUUCCCACUCAAGGGCA